rnacentral:rRNA from 1 species
AUUACCUACGGGACGCAGCAGUGGGGGAUAUUGGACAAUGGGGGAAACCCUGAUCCAGCGAUGCCGCGUGAGGGAAGAAGGUUUUCAGAUUGUAAACCUCUGUGGAGGGGGACGAUAAUGACGGUACCCCUUUAGGAAGCCACGGCUAACUACGUGCCAGCAGCCGCGGUAAUACGUAGGUGGCGAGCGUUGUCCGGAAUUACUGGGUGUAAAGGGGGUGUAGGCGGGAAAGCAAGUCAGAAGUGAAAACUAUGGGCUUAACCCAUAGCCUGCUUUUGAAACUUUUUUUUU